rnacentral:rRNA from 1 species
CUUUACUAUAACUUUGCAGUGGCGCCAGAAUUGUCAUGUGUAGGAUAGGUGGGAGGCUUUGAAGCCGGAGCGCCAGCUUCGGUGGAGCCAUCCUUGAAAUACCACCCUUGACUCUUCUGUCGUCUAACUCAGUCCCGUUAUCCGGGACGAGGACCCUGCAUGGUGGGUAGUUUGACUGGGGCGGUCGCCUCCCAAACAGUAACGGAGGCGCGCGAUGGUGGGCUCAGGUUGGUCGGAAAUCAACCCGUGAGUGCAAUGGCAUAAGCCCGCCUGACUGUAAGACUGACAAGUCGAGCAGAGACGAAAGUCGGUCAUAGUGAUCCGGUGGUUCCUCAUGGAAGGGCCAUCGCUCAACGAAUAAAAGGUA